UCAAGGAGAAGGUUGAAGGAAAACUUCAGGAUCUGAAGGAUUCCAUUUCAGAAGAGUCAACUCAAAAGAUGAAGGACGCCAUGGCCGCCCUUAACCAAGAAGUCAUGCAGCUUGGCCAGUCUCUAUACAACCAACCAGGUGCUGGACCUGCUCCCGGUGCGGAAGCUGGGCCGUCGGAUUCAUCCAACAAGGGACCUGAUAGUGAUGUUAUUGAUGCCGAUUUUUCUGACAGCAAAUGAGGACCUUAUAGCUUUCUGUUCUCAUUCCUGGUAUCAUUUUUGUUGCAUGGGCAAAGGACACAACGUUGUUUUUAGAAAUAUAGAAGAUAUUGGUGACAGCUACAGAUAGUAGGAAACCCCCCAUUUGCAAACGAAACUAGUUUUAUUUCUUGUGUAUAAAAUGCACUUCAACAAUAGUUCAUUUAUUAAAUGCAGAAUAUGGUUUUUAUGAUAAAUUUUAGAGUUAAUUUUGAAUAUUUAUGUGUGAUAUGUUUACAAUAAUGCUGGGAUCUCAAUGUUGUAUGUGUGAAUUUGUUAUUGUUAUGUGGAUGAAGUAACGAUCUGAGAUUGAGUGGAUAGAGAAGAGAGUACUGCACAUUAAAAAUAUCAUUGAAAUUUUCAGCGCAAAGCAAAGGUGAUUGCACUGAAAAAUGUCCUUAAAAUGCCCUGAGCCAUUGCGUUUGUAAUUAAUGCUUCGAGCUUGAGGAUAAAGAUGCUAAUUUUGUCAUCUAUAAUUACAAUAAACUAUUAAAUUUCAUCUGCCAUUCAUUUUUUUUUUCUUUUUAAGCUUUAGCCCCGUUUUUUACGUAAAAGUCUUUCAAAGUGGCUAAUUUCGUGAUAUCGUUUAUAUAACAUCAUUCAACCUUUGUCAUUUUUCUAUCUUAAAUGUGUCAACAAAAAGAAUAAGAAAGCUGUAAACUAUUAGGUCUACUAAGUGAAUGUUUCUGGUGCUUUUAACAUUGUUUUGAAAGCAAACCAGCACAAGACACUUUUAUUUGGUAAUAAAUGUUUUACCACUCAUCCAAUGCUUAUGGUUUACAGCUAGUGAGUGUGGAUUAAAAAACAACACUUCCGUUCCAAACAUGCCGCUUUGAAUUUGAAAUAUAAAGUUUGUAUUUCGUAAAAUAUGACUAAUAAAAUGAUACUAUCAGCAUGUGUGAUGCAUUAGGUAAAACCUAUAUAUAACAAAGAUUGUUAUGAAAUGAAAGUGUGAUAUGGCUUUUAUAGAACAUUGGCGAUCGACCACACCCAUUCCCGAUAUUUUACAUAUAUUCCCGUCCCCUCCCCAUCCCCAUUAGAAUUGAUUGAGGAGAUCCCCGUUCCCUCCCCGAAUGAUAAGAGGGGAUUUCUGAGGGGUCCACAAACCUCGAAUAACUAAUACGUUUUUAUAUUUAAAUUCUGAACUUGAUUAAUUAUAUUAAAAUAAAAAUUUAAACAAAAGUAAGGUUUGACAAUAUAUCUUACACUAACAUUAAUGCAUUACAAAAAUCGUACUACAAAAUAUAAAUUAUCAUAAUAAUUAUCUUCGUCAAUCUUCAUAAUCUUAUGAUAAAAAGAAAUUAUUUUAUAUCAAUAAUGAAAUAAAUGAAAUGGGUAUAGAUACUAAAAUUAAUAUUUUUAAUAAAAGUGUUUACUCUUGUACCUCAUGCUCCUCUUGUUCUUCCUCAAGAAAUGUGACAAAUUGAGAGAUAACAUCAGGUUUCAAAUCUAAAACAAUAAAAAAUAUCUAAACAAUAUGACUCAUAAUUUAAAAUAGUUUUGCGCCAAGAUAUUUAGAAUAAGGUCUGGUUGAAUAGUAAUUCAGGACUACAACUAGUUAAGUAGGUUCGAAAUUUAUAUAGCAGAUUUUAUAAAUAUUUUGAUAUUUGUUAUUUAAACUAAUAUUUAAUAUAAUUUAAAUUUCAUUAUUCAUUUAUUAAUAAUUCUAAAAAAUAGAACCAAAAUUAAAAAUUAAUAUGAGGAAAUGGGGAAAUGGAUAGGGGAUGGGUAUUUCACCUUAUCCCCAUCCCUUUCCCGAAUAAGAAACUGGGUAAAAAAUUGUCCUCAUUCCCUCCCCGAAUAAGAAAUUAGGUAUCAAAUUGUCCCCAUACCCUCCGCGAAUAGGGAAAAUCUCCAAAGAUCCCCGUCCCCGUAAGAAUUUUUGCCAAACCUAAAAGGGAAAGAUGCGAAGGAAUACCUUUUUAAAACAAAAUUCCUCCAAAUUUGGGAAAUAUUCAUUUUCUUCUGCAUAAUAAUUGCAUUUGAUCCAAAAGAGAACAAUUACUUUUCCAAAUGACCCCAUGAGAGAAAAUGAGGUUACGCAAAUUGAGUGGAGGUGGAAAUUGUUAGAUUAUAUAAGUUAUAAAACUAAAUUCCUAAAUUAUUAUGAUACAUCUUUUUAGAUAAUUUAAUCGCCGUACGUUAUAAGAGUAAAAUGAUUAAAUUAAAAUUAAGUAAAAGCGAUCUUAGUAGUCAAAGAUGGUCAAUAAACAUAGGUCUAAAAAAAUUAUUUAUUCAUUAAUUGUCAAAACUUUUUCUCUAUUUGAAUUUUUUGAAAAUAAUAUGAAUUCUCCAUAAUUAGUUUUUGAAAUGGGUGGAUCUACACAGAUUGUGGGUAAAAAUAUCCCAAUUCCAGUACAAAAUUUGUUAAAAGUAGAAUGACGAGGCCUAAUUUCAUAUAGUCCAACUAAAACUCAAUCUAAAAAUCUAUAUCAAAGUAAAGGAGAGUCCUACUUCAAAAUAGAGAUGACCAACGAGCCGUGUAAGCAAGGGGAAGGUGAAUGAAGGCCCAUGGGUUGGCAUGGCACGACUCACCAUGUGAACUAAAUGGGUUGUGCUUGACUUUUUUUGCUUAGGCCCAACACGACCAAGCACAACGUGCUUGGUCGUGCCCAAGAAAAAGCACAAUAAAAAAAAUUUUAAGAGGACAUGCCAAGUUGUUGACAAGCUUUUCUCAAACCCAUGAACAUUUCUUGGGCCAUAUACCUUUAGUCAAAUUCAAUAGAAUUAAAAGUUUAAAACUCUAAGUCAAUAUUCGAUAUUUUUAGUGACAAAAUUAUAAGUUCUUCACUAAAAAUAUUCUUAUAAAAAUUUAAUGUAAGGUCAAAAUUUUAGACCUUUUGCGACGAAAUGUAUAUUUCAUCGCUAAAUGUGUAUUUUUAAUGAAGAAAUUGUAAUUUCAUUGCUAAAAUAUUCGUUAAGGACCUAAAGAACCACCAAAAUUUCAUACCUUUUUGAGAUGAAAUUUAAAGAUUUAAGGUGGUUAAUUUUUUGCCAAAGUUUUAGGCUUUUAGCAAUGAGAUUAUAAGUUCAUCGCUAAAAAUAUUUGAUUAAAGAUUUAAAAUGGUUAAUUUUCCACCAAAAUUUUAGACCUUUAGCAAUGAAAUUUAAAUUUCAUCCCUAAGUGCAUUUUUUUAGCAACAAUUUUCAUUUUGCCACUAGACAACGUGAGAAUUUAAAAAUGUAAAGCAGAUUCUUUUCCACCAAAAUUAAGUUUUAAUGAUGAAUUUUAAUUUUCAUCGCUAAAAACCCUAGUUCUAUGUUUAUAUAUCAUUUACUUCAUUUUUUUUAUUCUUUCUCAUUCUCUCAUUCUCUUAAUUUUAUUCUUUAAUUCUCUUAUCUCUAAUUUAUUAUUCUCAUUCAAUCAUUCUCUACUUCUUUUCUCUCUUUUAUUUUUAACAUAUUUGUAAUUAUUUUUGUAUUUUUCAUCAAUAAUAAUAAUAAUAAUAAUAAUUUUAAAUUAAUUAAUUUUCAUCUUAUCAUAAUGAUGUUAAUUAUCAUUGUAAUUUAGUGUUAAAAAUGAUAAUAUUUUAAUAAUAAUAAUAAUAAUCAAAUGUUAAAAAAUGAUGUCUUCUAGCGAUGAAAUAAUAUUCAUCGCCAAAAAUACUUUCAGUGACGAAAUAAUUUGUUUACUAAAACUCAUAUUCACAGCACAUAAAUUAAUGAAGAGUUUAUGCUUUUGGUGACAAUUGUAUUUAUGGCUAAAAAAGAGACCUUUGGUAAGGAAACUUUUCAUCACCAAAAGUGUGUUUUUUUGUGCUCCUUUUGCUAUGAAUCUAGCAACAAAGAUUUGGUCGCCUUUAUCAUUUUUGCGAUGAAGCUAAUUUUAUUGCUAAAACAUUCAGAGAUGAAAUUUGAAUACUUCAUGUCAAUGAAAAAAAUCACUGUAGUCUUUAGCGAUGAAAAUUAUACGUUUUAGCGAUGAUUAUUUCUGUCCUAAAGCCCCUUUUUGUUGCACUGAACAUCUGGCAAUGCAUUGAUCAUAUCUUGGGUAUUGACUUUUGAUCUGCAUGCGCUAAGGUAUCUAAUUAUAGAAGCCCCGAUAAAGUUAGCACCAAGAUUAUUUGACUCAAUUGUUUGAUGAUUUCUUCAUUCUAGCGGUUUUAAUAAAGAAGUUUUAAAAAUCUUGAAGUGCCAUUUGUGAAUAUUUGCUAUUCACUUUCGUAUGAUACUAAUUGAAGAUGUUUAAAAAUAUUAUGCAUUUGUAAGUAAACAUUCUAGUAAUAUACCAAAGUUUCCUUUUAUUCACGUACAUAAAUAUGAUCUUAAUUUUAUAGUAAACCUGAAAAAAAAGGAAUUCCUGUUGAAGGAAAUAAGAAUCCAUUUAUUGCCUGAAAUGAAUUAUUUUACUGUGAAGUUUUCUCCUUCCAAGUGCUUGAUUAUUCUAUAUCCUUUCCAACAGGCUCUACUACAGGUCCUUUGUUACUGUAUUCAUCAUAGUAAAAGUCUCCACGCUCUGUCCUUGCCACAAUCCAACCUUUAGGAUCAAUUAUUCCAUCAAGAAAAGUUUGCGAGAUUAUUGUUCUUGAAUAUAUAAUUUCUCCGCGGUCAUCCCAUGUAUGUCUCGAUUGAUGUUUGCUCUGAGAGAAGUCUUCUAUGAUUGUCUUUACAUUCCCUUCAGUAGUUAUGGUGCGAUUAUGAAUGAUUACUCCUCCAUUUUCCCUUGCUUUUUCUCUUCCUUCGGUUGUGACCGUCUUUACACUCCCACCAAGGAAACAACGAAUGUAGAUAUUACAAUUUUGAACACUUAACUUGCAUCUCCAAAUAUAAAAUCAAUUACACCAUAGACAUCACACUCUUGAUAGAACAGUUUAUUGCUUCUAGCAUAAAGGGCGCACUGAUACCCAGCAAACUUUUACCUCUAGAAGGCAGAGUCCACCUCACCACUGAUGCUACUGCCUAGCUUGUUUCCUGUUAUGGUCCAGUUGUCAAAUGUUGUAUUAAUUGUCACAAAUCGAGCCACUUUAAUCAUUACAUUGAGUUGAAAAAAAAAAAAAAAAAAAGCUAAUCAAUAUAUGUUAGAAUAUAACAAGAUCAUGUUUACUGAUCUUAUUUUUUGUUUGUUAAUUUAAUGCAUGUAUACUACAAUUUAUAAGGAGAAAAAAGAGAGAAUAAAAUUGCAUAACUGAUCACUCAUUAACUGUAGCAGUCUUGUAAGUAGAUAAACGAUCCUUUUCCGUGGCUUUUAUUCCUGGAAAUGAUUGUGUCUUUGAUUUUAUUGCUAAUUUACACCAAAUUCAUUUUCUCUUUUCCAACAACAACAUAUUCAAUAGAGAUGGCCAAUGGACUGAGAGAGGUAAGUGGCACGACAUGUGCACGGCACGGGCACGACACAUGUUUGUAUAGCAUGGCAUGACAUGAGCACAUUUUGGUAGAAUUGCGAAUUAUGUUGGACUGAGAAUUUUAGGCAUGUGUGUCUCAAAGAUAAGUCACAAUUAGAAAUGAGCUAAAGUAUGACUUGUGACAAAGCCCGCAAUAAGCACACUUUAUUGGUGGGUUAGCGUGUAGUCCAUGGGUCAUCAAUAGCAUGUAGGCUAAGAUAUAUCAAAAUAAAUUUUUUUAAUAAAAAAUAAAUUUAAAAUUUUAUGAUUUUACGAAUAACUUGAAGUUGAAUCUUUUAAUAUAUUUUAUUAGCAUGGAUUUUUUUAAAAUUCAUUUAAGUUUUAAUCUUAUUCAUUUACCAUAAUUGUGAUUAUAUAAUCAAUAUUUUGUAGUUGUGAUUUGUCAUAAUUGGUAGUUCAUGAUUGUUAUUGCAAUCAUAAGAGAAUUCAUUGGGAAGAAAUAAUCACGUUGGAGGAAUAAAGAUACCACUUAUGACUGUGAGUAAAUCGCUGAACAAUUUCUAAAUUCUGAUUCUUGAGUUGAUAUAAAACUUAAAAUUUAGAUUCGCAAGAAACUCAUUCUGUGAAGUGAAUGUGGUGUUGCUAAUAGCUAAUAUUGGAGAGAAGAUGUAUUAUAUAACUAGGUCCAACUUAGGAUUCUUUAUUUAUAGACCAAUAGAAGAGUUGAGCUAUUCAUCAAAUCUCUAUUUUUAUUUAGGAUGAGAUUAUUUACACUCUAAUAUAUUCUUUGCACAUUCUAAUUUUAGUAAAAUUUUAUAUUACUAAAGUAACCCUAACGUAUUUAUUAAUUGAUCAUGAGUGUGGAGUAAUAGAGCCUUACCCUUUUAUUUAUGAUUUAGAUUUACAUAUUUUGUCAAAUAAAUCCUCAUACCAUCGAAGUUUACCAAAUAUAAAUAUAGUCAACUUCUAGUUCGAGACGUGUUUACAAUAUUACAAAUAAAACUUGGACUUAAAUAAAACACGGGAUUCCUGGAUUGAAAAAACUUCAUAUAUAUUGUCAGAUAAAUACUCAUUCCUCAUUGAGCAAAUUAUAGAUCUUUUUUGUUUAUUAAAAUGCAAUUAUCAUCUUUCCUUGAAAGACUUCCAUAAUUUAUUUUCACAACACAAAAUUUUCUUUUAUUUUUAUUCAAUAAUUAGAUUAUCAUUUUCUAUUAAAUUUAAUUAAUCAGUGGAAUUUUUCAACUGUAGUAUGACUUAGGGCUCUUGAAAAGAUAAAAGCUAAUUUUAGUGUUUAGUAAAUUUUUUUAGAAAUAACUUUUGACAAAAUCACCCCAUCCUACAACCAAUUUAUUAAAAGCAGGAAAGGAGUACCUUUUCAAAAUUUGAUUUUGAGAAUUACUUUCCUACUUAAUACAAUUCCAUACAUUUUUUUUCAUAUAUAUUAAAAAAUCUAAAAUUAUCCUUAUUAAUUAGGAAAUAAAAUCAAUAAGAUUAUUAUUGAGAUAAUGAAAUAAAAAAUAAAAUUAAUAAUAUAAAUAUUUAUUUUAGUUAUGUUUAUCAGUGUGUAAAUAAAUUUUAUUCAACAUUAUGUCUAAUUUAGUCAUUUAUAUUCUUACAAUAGUUUAACAAUAAAUUUUACCAAACACACAUAAUUAUUUUUAAUAUUUGCAGCACUUUUAAAAAUAAAUGUUACCAAAUAUUUAAUUAAUUCUUUUCAGAGUUGAUUACUUCUACAACACAGCUAACAUUAUUUAUUUUAAAAGAAUACAAUAUUAUCAAACUAGGCCUUAGCAAUAACAUAUUGAUGACUUUGAAAUUAUUUUAAAAGACCAAUUUUGACUAGUAGAAAAAAGAACAUUCCUUAUAAUCAGAAAAAAAAAAAUUAUUAAAAGUUUCUAAUUUCGUGAGUAUUAAUUUCUUAGUGCUUUUCUAAUUUAAAAGGUAAUGUAGAACAAGAAGAUAGUAAAAUUCUCAAAAAUGAAUAGACUUGAUAACAUAAUUUUCUUACAAAAUAUUAAUAAAUACUUUGAGCAAAUAAAAUAGAAAUACUAUAGAGUGCAAGAUGGAUGAUAUUGUUAGCAUAAUAAUAAUCUAGCUCAAUUAUCCAACAUAGGAACAAUCAUUUACCAAGCAACUAUAGAAGGCCGAGUCCGCUUCACUCACUAAUGCUACUGCCUGGCCUGUUUCCUGUUCUGGUCUGGUUAUGUUCUCAAAUGUUAUAUUUAUUGUCACAAAUCCAGCCCCUUAAUCACUACAUUAAUUUGAAAAAAAAAAUAGCUAAUCAAUAUAUGUUAGAAUAUAGCAAGACCAUGUUUACUGAUCUAAUUUUUUGCUGCUUGUUAAUUUAAUGUAUAUAUGCUACAGUUCAUAAGGUGAAAAGGAGAGAAUAAAAUUGCAUAGCUGAUCACUCACUAACUGUAGCAGUUUUGUAAGUAGAUAAAUGAUCCUUUCCGUGCCUUUCAUUCCUGGAAAUGAUUGUGUUGUUGAUUCCAUUGCCAAUUUACACCAAAUUCAUUUUCUCUUUUCCAACAACAACUUAUUCAGUAGAGAUGCCCAAUGGGCUAGGAGGCAAGUAGCACGAUAUUGGCACGGCACGGGCACAGCACAUGUCCAUACAACACAGCACAACAUGAGCAUGUUUUGGUAGGACAUGUAGUACAACACGGUACACGUAUGAACUAUGUUGGGCUGAGAAUAUUAGGCAUGUGGGUCUUAAAAACGCGUCACAAUUAGAGAUAGGAUAAAACACGGUCCAUGAGAAACCCCACAAUAAGCACACUUCAUUGGAGGGCUAGCAUGCAACCCGUGGGCCAUUAAUAGCAUGCGGGCUAGGUAUAUUAAUGAAAAGUAAACUUAAAAUUUUAUGAUUUUAUAAAUAACUUGAAAUUAAAUCUUUUAACAUAUUUUAUUACCGUAGAUUUUUUAAUUCAUUUAAGUCUUGAUCUUAUUCAUUUAUCAUAGUUGUGAUAAGUAAUCGAUGUUUUGUAGUUGUGAAUAUGAAGCAUUUGCUAAAUGAUAGGACUGAUUCUUUAAGGUACAUGCCAGUAGGGACUGUGAGGUUAAAGGGCAUUGAGCUACCCUAGCUAAGAGGAUAGUUGCCAAGAUUGCAGGGGAUUAAUAGAAGCAGCAUAUUUAAAAAGGCGUGAUAUUAUAGUCCCUAUAUGUGUCGAUUCAUAUAAGUUUGAAAAAGUUUAAAACGCUUUUUUUUUAAGGGUCUGACUAUGGUGCAACUGUAGUACCAUACUACAGUUUCUUCCAGCCGUUGAAUCCAACUUAUGAUAACAACUAUAACUAAAUCUAACGACUGAAUGCAACUGUAAUAUGAUACCACAGUUCCAUCAUAGUUUUGCCCAUUUUUCAAUCUGUGCAAGACAAACCGGACCAAAAAAUUGCUGGAGCACCAGGUCAUUUGUACCAACAUGUUAUUAAUUAUACACGUACGCGUGGCUUUGUCAUGAUUUGAUGCUACACCAAAAAGAGAUAUUUAUAGCUAUAAUUUUUAAACUGCACCGUGAUAUUUGGUAAAUAAUAGCAGUUAAGGUUUAGAAAGUAAGUUGAUUUUCUUUCACAUUUGUAUGAUUAAAAAUCAAUAAUAUUUUUAUUAUUUUUAUCAAAACUCUUAUUGAAAAGACUUAUUCAUUAUACACUAUCAAAUUUUAUUGUAUAGUUAUGAUUUUUUUUUACAACUAUUGUUUAAAAAUUACAACCUCUGAGUACAAAACAAUACCUUUGACUUGUUAAUUGUGAUGGCGUUGCAGCCUAAGGAGUUCUUUAGGAGUUUGAGAGGCAGAAAGAAAAACAGUAUUAGUAUUUUACCAACUAAAAGUUCUUAAUUUAAUUUUAUGUUCUGCAUUUUGCUCUGAUAGAUUUUGUGUUUAUUAGGCUAUGAAUUUUUUUAGAAAUAAAGUGUGCAUUUCUAUGUUCUUCAUUUAGGAGUGUUAAUUCAUGUAAUCGUGUCAUGUCAAAUUUAAGCAAACACAAAUACGAUCCAUUUAUUUUAAUAUAUUCUUUUUAAUCUCUUGUAUGAUAGGAAAAACAUAAAUUUUAAUAUUGUUUUAUUGUUUAGAAGAUUAGAAGAUUAGAACUCGUGUUGGGUAAAACCUAAGUCAAUUAUUUUAACCCCUAUACCUCUCCAGAAUUUGAACUCCAGUGACCGAUCAAGUAAGACGACUUAAAAAUUGCUAAUAACUUAUAUACUCCACAUGAUAGAAUAGCAAUGAAUAGAAUUACUGAUUUAUUUAUUUUAUUUUGGAUUACCCCCAGGAUUAUUAUUUACCCAAGUUGAACAAUUUCGACUUGGCGACUUCGGAAUUUCUGAAAAUUCCGAAAAAAGAACUCUCACAAGUAUCACUUUCAAUUAUUUCAUCCGCUACAUAUCGGCCGGCAGAAUCAUGAUCACCAUUCUCCAUAUGUUUUAUAGCCGUGGGGAGUUCAUCGAUAGCUAGAUCAUAAACUUGAAAGCAAACAUCGAGACAGAUUUUCAUAGCCUGAUCUUCGGUUUCAUUAAGCAACUUCUUGAUUUGUUCAUACGUAAUAUUGCAGUAUGUUGAUGCCGAUUCAAGUAUGAUGUGAGCUAGACAUUUGAAACAGAUCUCAAGGAUCCGGACAUUUAUCAUCCUAAAGUAAUUUCAAUAUUAUAUUUUCUACUAUUUUUAAUUUCCUAUUGAAUAAACUUUUUCUUAUACUGAUUUUUUUUUUGGUUCCCCCCAAAUUUGUUGAUAGUUUGCAGGACAAAGAGUAGUAGUUGAACCAUUACUUAGGUUUAUGGUAAAGGAGGUAAAUAAUUGGCAUGUUAUUAAGCCUUGUUUUCUCUGAACCAUUAAAUAAUUUGGCUUUUGAGUCAAGUGCUAGCUUUUUAAGGUACUCUCACUGAACUGAGUGACCAAUUUCUUUUGUACUAAAUGUAUCAUGUGAUGCAGGUAGCAGAGCAGGAGUAUGGUUUAUAAAACAGCAAAACGUUUUGUUUUGGUGAAAGGAUUACACAGAGUAUGUGACAUCGCACUUGGCUUUGAAAGAAUGUGAGUGAUGAACUUAAAAAGGGGUGACUUCCCUUGCACGGUCCAUCUGUUUUCAUUAAUACCUUUGUUGCAUAUCUAGGUUCAAGGAGCAAUGUUGAUGCCAUUCAUAGAUAUUAAAGACAAUGAGGAGAAAAAGGUGAUAUACUAUACUUGCUGCAUAAUGACCAAAUCUCCAUCGCUCUCUCAUUGUAACUUGAUACGCAAUUUGAUUGUCAACGAAUAAUUAUUAACCAAGAAUGCAGGGUAUCAAAAGAAGCAGCAUACUUGAAAAAGGCAUUAUAUUCUGGAGGCUAUGUGUCAAUUCAUAUAAGUUUCAAUAAGUUUAAUAGUUGAGCUCUGUUAGCUCGCCCAUUUUUUUUUUUUUUUUCCAAUUUGCGCAUUCAGGUACUAUCAAAGUUUGCUUACACUACUGGGUUCGGAGCAUCACUGGCUGUGGUUCUAGACUUCAGGUUUUUAUUAGUUAACUCUCUCUCCCUUGUGUGUACACACACACAUAUCAUGUUUUUUCAUAGUUCUGAAACUCACAAGAUUUAAUUGUAUUAAAAAUGUUUUGGUCGUCUGCAUUGUCAGGUUAAGGAUACUGAGCAAUGUAUUAAGGCAAAUGUCAGAGUUUUGUUAGUUUCCAAGAAAUCGAUCCUACUGUGGGGCCAAGGAUACUAUGAGGUUAUUUGGAAUUGAGGUGCUGUAAUUUUAAGUUACAGCUGUUGUAAAAAAAAAAUAUAAUUAUGAAAUAAAAGUUAAUAGUGUAUAGUAAAUAUAAUAAAUUUUUCAUCAUACAAGUGAAAAAUAAUAUAAAAAUAACUUUCAAGUUACAGCAGUUAGUGUUUACCAAAUAUUUUAGUACUGUAUUUUUUAAAUUACAGUUACCCAACCUCAAUCCAAACGCACCCUAAGUACCAAGAUUAUCUUUAUGUGAGAUUUGCAUUUGAUCCAGUGAAUUUUGAGAGCUAGGGUGAGAGAAUUUUUAGGAUAUUGGGAUUUAGGUUGGGGUAUAUUAUUGUUCAAAAUUUAUAUCGUCCUAUAUUUUUUUUAGUUAAAUUAUCUUCAUGUGUUCGCCCCGUGGAUACAGACUGAGAAUCGAACCAUGUAAAGUUAUUAUGUUCUUUCUUCGCAAUUGUUUACUAUAUAGUAUUUGAGAUUGUAUCUCCAAGGUGUGCUUAAAGUUAUUCUUGUUAUUAUUAAUAAUAGGAAAAGAACUUACAAAAUCAUGUUAAUUUGGCACCUUAGGAAUCCUGUUAUUUUUAAAAGUAAUUACGUAUAUCCUUUUUAUGUUUAUACGUAGUCACACAAGUCCUUAAGGUUUGUUUAAAAAGAGUGGACAUUAAAACAAAUCUAAAGCUAAUUGUGGCCUUCAAGUCUCAUGUUGCUUUCUAUCAUAUAAUUUCAAAUGAAAUUUUUUUCCGUUAUUUCUCUAGUUUGAAAUCAAUAUAUAAUUGAUUCUAGUAUAAAACUCUGAAUGGUCAUUGAUUUGUCAGCACGUCUUUAUAAAAAAAUUGUGUGAUCAUUUCUAAGAAUAAUGAAGUCCAUAUGAUCAUUUCACUAAACCACAACAUCUCACUAUCAAUUUCUCUUGCUAGCAAGGCUUCCGCCUAAUCAUAGGCGGUGCCCGAAUAAUCAUUUAAGGUACCAAUUUGAGUCUUUUAUAUUUGGGUGAUUUAAAAUAAUUUAUUUCCCUUCCUACAACUAUAGUUAGAGAUAAAUAUCUUAAUUUCUGGUUAUACUCUUGGUAGACCUUUAAACUGUACUAUGAGUGUAUCGAUGUAGAUUCUGAUCCCAAAUUAUAAUAUCAGGUAACACUUGAAAAUAUAUAUAUAUAUAUGAAGAAGGUCAAGAUUUUCUAGUUAAUGUUGUAUUUUGUUUGACCAAGAAUUAAUUAAACGAGCCCAGCCCAACAACUCAUCGGACCAAUGAUUACCCAUGACUUGUCUGUACCACUGGUGCCGCAGAGGCCUCUGGCGGUCUUAUUGGCUCACACCACAGUGGGGUCUUCGACUGGAAAACUCAAUCCAACGCGCAGACAAAACUAACCCGAACGCGAACAUCCUCGAUCUUUCUAUCACCGAUCAUACGGCCGCAAAUCACCCUCUCCCUCCAGAAGACCAUUCUAGAAUCCUUACACGUGUCACCACCUAACCCUCACCCGUACUCUCUCUCUAUCUACCCCUAAACCCUUCUCUCUUUAUCCUCUUCCUUCUUCUUCGCAGUCUUCAAGAACUAAAACUGAACUCUCUCUCUCUCUCUCUUACACACACACACACACACACACACACACACACACACACACACACACACACACACACACACACACACACACACACACACACACACACACACACACACACACACACACACACACACACACACACACACACACACACACACACACACACACACACACACACACACACACACACACACACACACACACACACACACACACACACACACACACACACACACACACACACACACACACACACACACACACACACACACACACACACACACACACACACACACACACACACACACACACACACACACACACACACACACACACACACACACACACACACACACACACACACACACACACACACACACACACACACACACACACACACACACACACACACACACACACACACACACACACACACACACACACACACACACACACACACACACACACACACACACACACACACACACACACACACACACACACACACACACACACACACACACACACACACACACACACACACACACACACACACACAAAUAAGACCGCAUUCAAAUUCCCACAUAUCUCACUGAAAUAACAAAAGGGCUUGUUUAAUUUUCUGAAAUAUAAGCAUGGCUUGUUCAUCGGCAGCUCAAAUUCAUUUCCUCGGUAAUAUUUCAUUGUCGUCGAGAAAAAACAGUAAAAACGGUCGUCAGAACACGGCGGGGUCGAGAAAUUUGUUUUUUGGGAAAAGGGUUGGCGGGAACCGAUUCGGGUCGGUUCCAAGCGCUGCGUUUUUGAGGUUGAAGAGUGAGAACAGAGGGGGAAGGUAUGUGGGGCCGGUGAGGGUGGUGAAUGAGAAGGUGGUGGGGAUUGAUUUGGGGACGACGAAUUCGGCUGUCGCGGCUAUGGAAGGAGGGAAGCCGACUAUAGUGACGAAUGCUGAGGGGCAAAGAACGACGCCGUCUGUGGUGGCGUACACGAAGAAUGGGGAUAGGUUGGUGGGUCAGAUUGCGAAGAGGCAGGCGGUCGUGAACCCGGAGAACACCUUCUUUUCGGUGAAGAGGUUUAUUGGGAGGAAGAUGGUGGAGGUUGAUGAGGAAUCGAAGCAGGUUUCGUAUAGAGUUGUGAGAGAUGAGAAUGGGAAUGUGAAGUUGGAGUGUCCUGCUAUCGGCAAGCAGUUUGCUGCUGAAGAGAUUUCGGCCCAGGUAUAUAAUAUAUGUGAGAUGAAAUGUGUUGUAUUUUUAGGGGUAUUGUUGAAUUUUUAUUUAUGUUAUUUUUAUUUUUGUUUAGUUUGCUUUGGAAUUACUUGUGGUUUUUUUUAUUUCUAUUGAGAAUUUGAGAUUUUGGAAUGUGUUGUUUGGGUGUUUGGAUUGGGUGCUAAUUAGUUUAGUGAUGGUUUUUAGUUUGAGGUGGAAAUUUCUGGUUUUAGGAAGUGAUUCUGCAGUGAAAGAAAAUGUUGGUGUCUGCAUCUUGUUGAAUUUUGGUUUUUGGAUUAGGGCAAUAGGUUUUGGUUAAUGUUGGCUUCUAUAUGGAACAAUAAUUCUUCUUGCAAGUUGAAGAGACAAGUACUUUUAUGUUGAUUAGUUAGGUGUGUCAAUGGGUGGUUCUAUAAACUUUGUUUACAUAUUUAGGGAAUUUUGUUUGGCAGCAGAUGUGGUCACACUGAAGAUUGGUUUUGUAAGACAUUCAUAUAUGUGCAUGAAUACAUGUGAAAGUGUGAACAAUUUGUAUUCACAUGCAUUUGUAAUCUGUGAUAUGCGUGCUGGCUAUGAAUUAAUAAACAACAUGAUUACUUCAUCUUAAUUGGUCUAUUUGAAGGUUACCUUAUAUCAUUUGUUUACUCUUUGUUACUGAUUUAGGUCUUGAGAAAGCUUGUCGAUGAUGCGUCCAAGUUCUUAAAUGAUAGUGUGACUAAAGCAGUGGUCACAGUGCCUGCUUACUUCAAUGAUUCCCAGAGAACAGCAACAAAGGAUGCUGGUCGAAUUGCUGGCUUAGAUGUUCUGCGUAUAAUUAAUGAGCCUACUGCUGCUUCGUUGGCAUAUGGAUUUGAAAAGAAAAACAACGAGACCAUCCUAGUGUUUGACCUUGGUGGUGGUACUUUUGAUGUUUCAGGUACUGUUGAGAAGUAUUCGAGGUUUAUCUAUUAUGUUGUUUUCUGUAGUUACACGUGUUGCACUUUGAAUUGAAAGAACUGCCUUUAUUUGAACAUUUGAGCAUUGUCUCAUUCAUUUCACUUUGAUUGCAGUCCUUGAGGUCGGUGAUGGAGUGUUUGAAGUGCUCUCCACCUCAGGCGAUACGCAUUUGGGUGGUGAUGAUUUUGAUAAGGUUUGAAUUCUUCGUCUCGUCUCUGAUUAACAUUUUUAUCCGUGUGUGUUGAGUCUGAUUAGGUGCUAAAUGGACUGACAUUUAUCACCUGACGUAUGCAGAGGAUUGUUGAUUGGCUUGCUUCAAACUUCAAGAGAGAUGAAGGCAUAGAUCUUUUGAAGGACAAACAAGCUCUUCAGCGUCUAACUGAGACGGCUGAGAAGGCUAAGAUGGAGCUGUCAUCUUUGACUCAAACAAACAUCAGGUAUGUUGCAUGUACAUGAGUAACUCUGUUAGUCUGUUUGUACAUGGACACAUUCUCCCACCGGGCAGUAUGUUGUACUGAUGAUUUUGUGCUUGUCCAGCUUGCCUUUCAUUACUGCUACUGCAGAUGGGCCGAAGCAUAUUGACACCACCCUUACGAGGGUUAAGUUUGAGGAAUUGUGUUCAGACCUACUGGACAGGUACCUUUUGUUGCUUGACAAGCUUGUUCAUUUCUACGCCUAUACAUUAUGUGAUGGGAGAGUUGGAUUGGUGCUUGUCGGUUUAAGUAUUAGUUUGAAUAGUUAUAUGUUCUUCCUAUCACUUCUUGGCUAUUUUUACUCUAUUUGGGUAAUAAUGCUUAUUAGACUCAUCUUUGCUAUUUGCAUUUAAUAGGCUCAAGACGCCUGUUGAAACUUCUUUGCGGGAUGCAAAACUUUCCUUCAAGGAUCUUGAUGAGGUUAUUCUUGUUGGUGGAUCAACACGUAUUCCAGCUGUUCAGGAGCUGGUGAAGAAGAUGACUGGAAGGGAACCAAAUGUUACAGUCAAUCCUGAUGAAGUUGUUGCCCUAGGAGCUGCCGUUCAGGUAGGUUCAAUGCUAGUGCAAUAAUACCUCUUAAUGUUGUAAAUUUUGGAUGUGGUUAAAACUUAAAUUGGGGAAAUGAAUCAUGUGUGAAUAACAUCAUCUCUAUAAACUUACGACAUGUUUUAUAUUUUUUCAUCUUAGGCUGGUGUUCUUGCUGGUGAUGUCAGUGACAUUGUUCUGUUGGAUGUGACCCCAUUAUCUCUUGGUUUGGAAACCUUGGGUGGUGUGAUGACCAAAAUUAUUCCUAGAAAUACAACUUUGCCCACUUCCAAGUCAGAGGUGUUCUCAACAGCUGCUGAUGGUCAGACCAGUGUCGAGAUCAAUGUUCUCCAAGGUGAAAGAGAAUUCGUGAGGGACAACAAAUCUCUUGGCAGCUUCCGUCUUGAUGGCAUCCCUCCAGCACCGCGUGGGGUUCCUCAAAUUGAGGUUAAAUUUGACAUCGAUGCCAAUGGUAUUCUUUCUGUCUCUGCUGUUGACAAAGGCACCGGAAAGAAACAAGACAUCACCAUUACUGGUGCUAGCACUUUACCCAAUGAUGAGGUAUGUUUGAUGUUUGCUAAUUGAGCAGUUCUUAAUUGUCUCUGACUUAUGCCUCAUCUGGGGCCACAUUUUAGCCUCAACAGCUUAUUGUUACCGAAUCUAGUUUAUUUUCUAACAAGCUCUUGUGUUCAGUAGAGUUAAUUGUGCUUUCGGGUCCUCCAUAAUUUGUAUGCUUGAUGGUCUAAAUCGGAAGCUAUUAGUCAUUCUACUGUACUGACAUUGAUGGAUUGCAUUUUUUAGAUGUUAUGAUUAUGUUUAUGGUGGAAUCGUGCUGCAAAUGUCUGAUUUGUGAUAUUCAGGUGCAAAGAAUGGUGCAAGAAGCUGAGAGAUUUGCCAAGGAGGAUAAAGAGAAAAGAGAUGCUAUUGACACCAAGAACCAGGCGGAUUCUGUCGUAUACCAAACGGAGAAACAGCUGAAGGAGCUGGGAGACAAGGUUCCAGCCGAAGUGAAGGGGAAGGUCGAAGGAAAACUCAAGGAGCUCAAGGAUGCAAUUGCAGAGGGUUCAACCCAAGCAAUGAAGGACACUAUGGCCGCCCUUAACCAAGAAGUUAUGCAGCUUGGCCAGUCCCUUUACAACCAACCAGGAGCUGGGGCUGCACCUGGCGCUGGACCUACUCCUGGUGCUGAGGCUGGAGCUUCAGACUCAUCCAACAAAGGACAGGAUGGUGAUGUCAUCGAUGCAGAUUUCACUGACAGCAAGUGAAAAUCUGCCUAGUUUUUGUCUUCCUAAUUUAUUGGAUGUGUAUAAGAAUUUGAUUUU
rnacentral:lncRNA from 1 species